rnacentral:rRNA from 1 species
UACGGGGGGGGGCAAGCGUUGUUCGGAAUUACUGGGCGUAAAGGGCUCGUAGGUGGCCAACUAAGUCAGACGUGAAAUCCCUCGGCUUAACCGGGGAACUGCGUCUGAUACUGGAUGGCUUGAGUUUGGGAGAGGGAUGCGGAAUUCCAGGUGUAGCGGUGAAAUGCGUAGAUAUCUGGGAGGAACACCGGUGGCGAAGGCGGCAUCCUGGACCAAUACUGACACUGAGGAGCGAAAGCCAGGGGAGCAAACGGGG